ACCUCCCAGUACCACCACUCUAGGGCCCAAGCCAUUACAUAUGGAUGUUCGGGGAACAUUCAUCUAAAUCAUAGUGAAAAAAACACAGGAAUUUUCUUCCUUCUCCUAAGUUCCUGUCAGCACACAAACAAGAAUAUCUGCCCUCUCCAAUGUACUAAAUAAAAAGAUGCUGCUAGUGAAACAAUGGACCCGUGGCGGAGGAGUAGCGCUCCACCCCCAUGUGAGAGAGUCAUCUGCUCCAGCAGAGGAUCGCCCUGCCCCCACAUGAGAGAGCAGACCCAUGUCAGAGGAGCAGAGUCCCACCACCAGGGGACACAGCAUCAAGGAGCAGCAGGGGUACAGACUAACCAACUAACCAACCAGCCCAAUCCUGGACAAGGACAUACCCAGGGAGAAAAGGGAGCAAUCAGACCCCAUAACUGUAGACAGUAAGUCCAACAGCCCACUUGAACCCCUGCCUUGCAGCCUAAAUCCAGCAGAGAACAGAGGGCUGAUUAUGUUCCCUGUCCCGGCCCGCGGGUCCCAAAGGUGGAACUCCAGCCUCAUCUCUGUCUACGAUGCCUUUGCCACCUAGACAUCUCUCUCCAUUUGAAGAUCUGAGAGAAUCCAGAACAGAGUUCUUCAUCCUCUGACACCGAAUCUGAACUUUGGCCCUCCACCCACCUCAAAAUUAAACUCUGUUUACUCAGUUGCUCAAGCCUAAGAGGACAGAUCCAUCUGAUGGUUCUAAGAAAGAAUCUGAAAGAAUCCUGAAAGACUGCAAAGGCAAAACUAGAAGAAAAAACUCUGAGUCCUUUUGCUUGUGGUAGAGGAAAGAUGAAUACGAGCAGUCUCCAGAAAGGAGGUGAGGCCAGAUGCUGUGUCCAGGAUUUGACAGCUACUGGAGGCUUCUUUUGGAAGAAGAUGAGAGAGAAUGAGCAAAGUUCCAAGAACUGCUAAACAGAACCUUUGUCUGACUGUAAUCCUGGGAAAAUUGCUUAACCAGUAUGAACCUCCAUGUCAACAUCUGGAUAUACAGGACCACCAAAAACAGAUAGUACCUCAAAGCAACAUCAUGAAGAUUAGAUAAUGUGUGUAAAAGUACUAAUAAAAC
rnacentral:lncRNA from 1 species